GUGGUUAUGAUGUAUAUGAGUGUGAAAAUAUUUAGUGUUUUAUUUUAAUUGUGCACGUGAGUGGACGUCCAUAAUCAUAUUAUGGAUUACAAAAACUCUGGGUACGUUAAUGAGUGUAUGUAUACAGUCCACGGUCUAAUAUAAUUAUGUGCAUAAGUUGACGUCCAUACUCAUAUUAUGUAUUACAAAACUUUGGGUAUGUGCAUGAGUGUACGUCUGUAGUCCACAAUAUAAUAUAAUUAUUCUCCAUGUGUUUACGAAAGUUUUUUUUUUUUUUUUUUAACUUAGUGUUAUCGCAUAUUGACCUCUUCGUAUUAGUUACUAUGUUUGUGGUGGGAAGAUGGGUUAGUCACAUGUUUUAAAAUCUGGAUCUUUAUUUUUUUGGGUCGUGAUUCGACUAUUCGCAUUGUACCAGUGUUCGUAAAGUCAGUCCUGGAAUUGCAGAAACUUCAUAUGGUUUACGAAUUCUUGAACAUAGAGCUGCGCACCAUGUCAUAUUCUUAGAUAUAUAUAUAGAGAUAAUGUGAGUAUUUACUAUUUGAUAUAUUUAGUCAGAUCAUCGACUAAGAUAUUAAUACCAUAAAAUGAAAAAAAUCAGUCCUGGAAUUGCAGAAAUCUUGAUAUGGUUUACGAGUUCUUGAACCUAGAGCUGCGCACUAUGUAAUAUUCUUAAAUAUAUAUAGAGAUAAUGUGAGUCUUUACUAUUUUAUAUAUUUAGUCAGACCAUCAAGUAAGAUAUUAAUAGUUUAGAAUAGUAUAACCAGAUUUUGUCAGUUAUAGUUAUCGUUAAGAUUUUUGAAAAUAAUCAUGUUCAUGACUCACUUUGCAUUCAUUGUACUUAAUAUAACGAAAGAAAAUUCAGAUAUAUUAGAUCUUUAUAAAUAUAAGUAAAGUUAAGGAUAAUCGUUAAAUAUAGAUUGUGUUAUCUAUAUCCGUUUCGUCAUGACAAAUCCGAUGCGUUUAGUGUCUAGGAUGUUUUCUAAAAUGGCCUUUCAAGUUGUCUAGACCGUGUGGGCCCUAAAGUCGCACGGCACAAAAAUCCUCUUCAGUAUCAGACCGCUGCGUUUUACUGAUCAGUGUAUCUGAUUAUUAGGCGUCUGUAUCGAUUAUUAGGCGUCUUUUAGGGUCCAUACAAUCAGCCGUUAAUCCACAUUGAAUCGAUUGUGAUUUUUGAUUUAGAUCAAUACCUUUCACCUUCUUUCUGACGAUCGGAUCGUGAUGACCCAAAACUAUCAUAUUAAAACAUCACCUUAAAUCUCUCAUCCCCUAUUCAUUAGAUGCGUUUUGAGCUUCAACAGUAUAAAUAUAUCUGAAAUCCGGCCCAUGUUUCUCCACUGUUGAGUGUAGAUUAUUGCGUGUCUGGGAGGUCAAGAAAAUGAAGCAAGGUGGUGAACUCAGGCGUCUUAACAUGCUCAUAGUGGAUAUGAAUGGUACUAUUAUGGUGGCAUCCAUCAGUGCUAAACGUCUUAUACUAUUCCGGUCUAGGCUCAUCGCCGGAGCAGUGUACUCUGUCUCUGGGUUCUUUGUAUCGGACUGUGCUCUAACCCUUCGUCUUACUGAUUCUUCCUUGAUGAUUAUGUUCAAUGAUUCGACUUCUUUGGACGUGUUAUCUGACACGGAUUCAGAAUUACCUGUGGAAGAGUUCAGAUUCAGAAAUGAAGCUGAAUUGCUCGAAUUAGCUAGCGCAAGUACUCUUUGCUCUCUCCAGAACGCGCCAUCUCAUCGUCCACCUAGAUAAGUCGUUUUCUCUCGCGGCGACACGUGUCAUAGAAGACUCAAACUCAGCGUUUCAUUUAUUCCAAAAGUCAUAAAUGAUACGGGCUUUGCUAUUUUCUGGGCCUGAUGUUGAGCAAUCCUGUGUGACGGCCAGGGUCGACUCUAAUCUUUGCUUCACGCCGUCUAACAGAAGGUUAGGGAUCGUCUUUGCUCUUCGUUCGAUCGCGACUUCUGAUCUUCGUCUCAGUCACCGAAACAGUCUCUGUUACAAUUACUUCGUGUUAAAUCCCUUAUUAAUUCAAUCAAUGAAGCCUUGAAUGCAAUAUUUCUUCAGGAGGCGGUGUACCUGUGAAUAUAAAAAGGGACAGUACAUAGUCAGAGUCUCAAGUCGCCUUCAUGAUGAUGACACCAUUGUCGAGAGAAGACAUAAAGCUAGCUGAAGUUUUGAUAACGGAAACCCAACAUUGCUAGAUGCCUAGAUGUUUUACUCCAUAGAGGGCAUGGAUAAUCGUAAAAGAAAACAGAAGGUCUCUGAGAAAUAUAGAUGGAAAAGAAGGAAAUUGCAGAGCAUGAAGCAGUCAAGAAAGAGCCUGAAAGCUUUCUACUGGAGAGACUUGGCAAUGUUCCAAUGCAUGCGUUAUGUUUAGGAGAUUCUUCAUUCGGCGAGGAGGAAAUAGGAAUAUAUAACAAUUUGGUCCAGUUUUUAAUUAUUUAAAAUGACUUAAAUAAUUGACGUAUUUUUUAAUAUUUUUGUAGUUUCUUAUUUAAACUGAAGGUAACAGGUAACACCUAUCAAGGAUGAGCACGAGCAUUACUUUGAUUAUAAUCUGAUUGAAAAUCAUAAAUUAUUGAUCCUGAUACUUUUUCUCAUA